rnacentral:tRNA from 1 species
GCCUUCGUGGUGUAACGGUAGCACACUCGGCGUGUAUUCGAGAGGUCCAGGUUAGAGUCCCGGAGAAGGUA